UGGCAUGGAGCCAAAUUAAACUUAAUGAUUUGCUUCAGUCACCAGAGGAUAUAGAGAGGCUUUACUCUGAAGUUCAUCUGCUUAGCACCCUCAAUCACCCUUCUAUCAUGAAAUUCUAUACUUCUUGGAUCGAUGUCGAGAAAAGGACCUUCAAUUUCAUUACUGAGAUGUUCACUUCCGGUACUCUCCGAGGGUAAUGCCUCUAUUCCCUGUCUAUCAUUAUUUUUAUUCGAAUUGCGAUGAUUUAAAGUUGUGCUGUUAGUAUCUGGAAAGUUAUAUGCAGUGACGAAUCUAGAGUCGGUGGGUUCUAAUCGUUAAAUUAACUAUGUGUCGCUCUUUAGCGCGAGAGUUUGAGUCUCUUGUAUCUACCGUUCCAGCACCAACGCAUCCUGAAAGUGAAUCGUAUUCCAAGAAUAUGAUCUGUCUAUUAUGGUGUAUGGAAUAUAUGACAAAGAUGGUAUCUAUUGAUUGGUCAUGUCAUAUACAACGGAUCUAGGAUUUCAAUUAGGGGAUUUGAAAAAUAAAAAUAUAGUGCUAGAAUUUGACAAAGAUGGUAUCUAUUGAUUGGUCAUGUCAUAUACAACGGAUCUAGGAUUGGGAAAAGGGGCAAUGAAAACAGUAUAUAGGGCAAUUGAUGAAUUGCUAGGUAUGGAAGUGGCAUGGAGCCAAAUUAAACUUAAUGAUUUGCUUCAGUCACCAGAGGAUAUAGAGAGGCUUUACUCUGAAGUUCAUCUGCUUAGCACCCUCAAUCACCCUUCUAUCAUGAAAUUCUAUACUUCUUGGAUCGAUGUCGAGAAAAGGACCUUCAAUUUCAUUACUGAGAUGUUCACUUCCGGUACUCUCCGAGGGUAAUGCCUCUAUUCCCUGUCUAUCAUUAUUUUUAUUCGAAUUGCGAUGAUUUAAAGUUGUGCUGUUAGUAUCUGGAAAGUUAUAUGCAGUGACGAAUCUAGAGUCGGUGGGUUCUAAUCGUUAAAUUAACUAUGUGUCGCUCUUUAGCGCGAGAGUUUGAGUCUCUUGUAUCUACCGUUCCAG
rnacentral:lncRNA from 1 species